UAAUCAUUAUGUUUCAAUUAUUUUAAUGCUUCUCCUUACAUUUUAACAUGUAUAUUUAAGUCCAAAAUCAUUCAUUCCCAUUCUAUUCUCCCCACAAACAAUGUCAAAUCCUUAAAUAUUUAACUCCAAUACCCCUCUUUCAUCUUUAGUGUUUUUAUGUAGCAUUUCAAUUUCUUCCUGUUUUCUGAACUUCACAGAACUAACUUUUGUUUCAUAGUCAAAGAUAGAAGCUUCUCUUUUCUUCUGUAGUCUUUUAUUCUGUUGGGAAUAAUUGAAAGUUUUCUGAGCCUCUCUUUUCUCUUUUAUUCUCAUAUUUAAUCAAUCACUCUUGAUUCAAUUUCUUUAUAUCUCUUGAAUAUAUUUUCUUUUUCUCCACUGUCAUUUUACUCUCUUUCACAGAAGUAAAGGCUGCCAUUAUUUCUAGCCCAGAGCACAGUGGGGGCGCUUAAUUGCCACCAGUAUGCACAUUUCUAACCCAUUGUACCCACACAGCAGCCAGAAUGGUACUUCAUAACACAAACAUGACCUCUUGCCUAAAAUCAUUCAGAGGUGCCCAUUGCUUUUAGAAAAAUCUAAAUUCCUUAACAUGUCUUAACAUGCUGUUAUCUCCAUUUCUACAGCCUUGUUUCCACCCACUUCUCAUGUUCAUUCUGUUUCCAGUUGCUCUGAGUAUCUUUCAACUUCUUGAACACAGCAGGCUGUUUCAUCUCUGGGCUGCUACAGUGAUUGCAGAAGAUCUCUCAGAAGAGGUGAUUUGAACAUAGACAUCACAAACAUGAAGAAGUGAGAACCAUGAAGGUAAUUUAGCAAAGGUACACUGUGCCAAGCUGACAACACUGUUUAUGGCUGUGGGUCACCAGCUCCCUGAGACCUGCUCCUCUGCACCUCCCUAAAGGCUAAGAGACUCAAUAUCUCUCUCACUCGAACCCAUCAGCUCCACAGCAAAGUUCCUGGUAUCUCUUUUGGGAAAUAUCCUGCCAUUGGGAAAGAAAGGAGAACAGGAAUUGAUGAAGAAAAGGGAGAAAAGGGGACAAAAAGAAGACAAAAGAAGAAUAGAAGCAGAAGAGUACGGUAUUCUAAGUGAAGGAAGAACCUUUUUAAAGAGGGAGUGAACCAAAAAGACUUGACAGCUAUUGAGAAUUCCAAUUGUGUGGGAGCUAAGGAGAGGGCACUGGUUAGGGCAAUGUCCUCCCUGGUUUUGCGUUAGAGGCAGUUUGAGUAGUAGAGGGGCAUAGAAGGCAGAUUAGGCAGUGACAGGGAAGUAUGGAAGCGGUGUGUGUGGUUUGCUGCACUUAGACAAACCUUGUGGGGGAAGGUAGAAAAGCAAUGGGCUGGAAUGGGUGGCAAUGACACUUUGGGGAUUUGAAGACCUGCCUGAGUUUGUAUGCAGAUUGAGGGGAAGAUAUAAGAGGAAAGAAUGGAACUGAAAACAUAAAAGACAAAAGGAAAUAAUUGACAAAGCAAAAUUCAGGCAACCAGGAAAGAACGGGAUCAAAUGUAUGUAGACAGAUUAAACUUGGUUAAGAAUAUACUUUUCUUUGAAUAGACAGAAAGGAGGAACAUAUUGAUAAAUGGUAGAGGGAGAUUUUGAAGGGUGCUGAAGACCUGAGAGAGUAUUCUCACUCAAUAGCUUUUGUUUUCUCUGUAAAAUAUGAUGUGAGAAGGAUGGUGAUCAUUCAGCAAUUCCUACUGGGGAAAAGGACAGACAACAACGUGGAGUGAGAGUGGGGUCAGAUGACUGUAUCAAUCAUGUGCUCAACACUGUGCUAGGUGCUGUAGGGGAUAUAAAAUAUGUAUCAUGUGAUUCCUGCCCUCAAAGGGAAACACACACACACACACACACACACACACACACACAGACACACACACACUCUCUCUCUCAAACCUAUAAGGGUAAGGGAAUCUUUUUGAGUUAAACUAUGAUUUGCUGAAAAGCAUAAUAAAAGUCCUAGGUAAGAAUUGGAGAGGGGGCAGUAAAGACAUUGAGAAAAGCUUUAUGCAUUAUUUGGAUAAACAGAGGAACAGAUUGUAGGAAGCAACAGAACCCAGCAUGAGCAUGGCAUGCACACCAGCUAGUUGGGAGAUCAUGAGAUAGUAGAGGAAAUGAGUGAUGGGAAGAGGAAGGCAACAUGACUGAAUAGAUAGGAAAGAACCAGAGUAUAGAGCACUGGUAGAAAGGAUGGAGGUGCAUGAAGAUUAAUUAGGUAUUUACCUGCAGGAUGAAGGAGAGUGUG
rnacentral:lncRNA from 1 species